rnacentral:misc_RNA from 1 species
UUCUACUUCCGGUUAUAGUUGGAACAGAAACUGAGAAAGAUCAUUUGUACAGUUUUAAGUGCAUCAAGAAAAUGCCUGAACGCAACAUCUUACCAAUGAGGAUUUCCGUAAGAUGCUUAUGACCCCCCGGGUCUCUUCUUCGGGUUCAGCGUCCUCCUCUACAGUUCAUCACGGAACAAAGCCAGCAGUGACACAACACAAGAAACCUGUAGUGCCAUUACCAGAAGAAGAUGAAGAUGAUCCGGCAACAAGAAGGAGAAAAAAGAAAAUUUACUAUGCCAAGCUUAAGCGACUUGAAGAAGAGAGACAGAAGGAACUGGAGUCAAAAUACAGAGACAGGGCCAGGGAGAGGCGAGAUGGUGUCAAUAAGGAUUAUGCAGAGACAGAGAUUAUCAGCACCACUGCAGAUUAUCGAGCUGUGGCUCCAGAUGUAAAGGCGGGAGACAACUACGCCGAGAAACGUAAGCAGCUGAUCCAGGAGUCCAAGUACCUGGGAGGUGACAUGGAGCAUACUCACUUGGUAAAAGGUCUGGACUUCGCCCUGUUGGAGAAGGUGAGAGCAGAAAUCAGCUACAAGGAGCGCGAGGAAGAGGAGAUAAUGGAGGAGGUGGUCACCCAGAAGAAAGAAGAUAAAGAAGUGGACCAAGAGGAGCAAAUGCAUUUUAAAACCAGAAUGGGCAGGAGCAUCUUCAGGACGUUAUUUAAAAGUAAAUUUCCGGAGAGGAACGAGCUGUUUCUGCCGGGACGGAUGGCGUAUGUGGUGGAUCUGGAAGAUGACUAUGCAGAGAACGAUGUACCAUGUACCACCAUCCGCAGCAAAGCCGACUGUCCCAGUCUGGAGGCCACGACAACCCUCACCACCAAUGACAUCGUCAUCAACAAGUUGACCCAGAUUCUGUCCUAUUUAAGACAAGGGCGCAGAGAAAGCAAGAAACUCAAGAAGAAAGAGAAAGGAAAAAAUAAAGAUGAUGACAAACCUAAAGAAAAACUACCUGGAGCUGAUGACAAUAUCUACACUGAUGUUGGAGAUUACAUGCCCUCCUACUCAAAAUCCAAGGACAAGAAAGACAAGAAGGACCGUGGUCGAGAUAGAGACCGAGACGAUCACCGAGAUAGAGGGAAGGACCGAGAUAGGGACAGAGACAGGGACUACCGAGACCGAGAUAGGGACAGGAGAGAUCGGGGUAGAGAUAGAGACCGUCACAGUGAUAGAGAUAGGGACAGGGAGAGAGACGGCCAUCGGGACAGGAGGGAUGACAGGAAGAGGAAGUCCUACUUUGAGAAGCCUGUGGAGGAGGAUGAUGACAGGACGAAAGGACCAGGGUCAGCUGGUGACCUUGUCAAGACAAUCAACGACCGCUUCAAGAGUUAUGCUGAUGUGGAAAAAGAGAAAGAAAAGGAGAAGGUUGAUAAGCACAAGAAGUGGAUGGAGAAGCUCCAACAGAAGACACUCAUUGACAGUUACGCCGAGUGUUAUCCGGGUAUGGAGGAAGCUGAUGAUGCUUUGGGCGACUCUGAUGAUGAGGCAGAUUUCAGCAAAAUGGACCAGGGCAAUAAGAAAGGCCCUAUAGGGCGAUGGGACUUUGACACCCAGGAGGAAUACAGCGACUACAUGGCCAACAAGGAGGCCCUGCCUAAGGCUGCCUUCCAGUAUGGAGUCAAAAUGGCUGAUGGACGCAAGACCCGUCGUGCCGGGCCAAAGGACGAGAAGGCCGAGUUAGACCGACAGUGGCAGAAAAUUCAAAACAUUCUGAAAACCAAGACUGGGGAGCCCAACGAGAAGAAAAUGAAGCAUUGAUUGAAAAACAACAUUAUGUUAAAAAAAUGUUAUUCUAGUGACUAAAUUCUCUGAAUUUGUUUUCUGAUAAAUUGGACUGUGGACUAAAAUCAUUGUAGUGUGAUACUUCGAUCUUUAUGUAAUUCAAGUUUUCCAGUGUUUUUGGGGGUUUUUUUAACCACCAAUUCAAUAUUAAAUGUACAGUGUAUGUUUAUUUGGAGACUGAAUUUAAUGAGUCUGGUGAUAUAAAUUGUAAUAUAGUGUGGGGGAAUGAUGAAUCAGCUGUACUUUGAAGUAGAGGAGCUUUAUGUUUAAUUUCUUUUGAUUUGGUUAUGUGUAUAAUCUGGUUUACCAGAACAUGUGCAUGUAAAUUCAUUUCAUAGACUGUAGUCAUUAUCAAGUUUUGUAUAUAAGUAGAAAUGUGCGAAAUGCACAAAAUAAAUUGUUUAU